rnacentral:rRNA from 1 species
AUACGGAGGGAGCAAGCGUUAUUCGGAAUCACUGGGCGUAAGGGACGCGUAGGCGGGUUUGUACGUCAGGUGUGAAAUCCUACAGCUCAACUGUAGAACUGCACUUGAAACUACAGACCUAGAGUAUGGAAGGGGCAGAUGGAAUUAGUGGUGUAGGGGUAAAAUCCGUAGAUAUCACUAGGAAUACCGAAAGCGAAGGCGAUCUGCUGGGACAUUACUGACGCUGAGGCGUGAAAGCGAGGGGAGCAAACAGGAUUAGAAACCCCGGUAGUCC